rnacentral:sRNA from 1 species
UCAUCUUUUGUUCUGUUUCGGGAUAUGGAGUGAUUCCUACUCUUCACUGGGUUUGGCUCAAUGGAGGAAUUGGUGCUCCUAUUGUACAGGACUUUGCACCCCGUGUAAUUGUGAUGUAUAUGAUUGCUCUUCUUGCUUUCCUAUUCUACAUUUCCAAAGUCCCAGAGCGGUACUUUCCAGGUAGGUAUCUCUUUUAUAGCAGUUUUGUAUUGUUAGUCUAAAUAUAUGCCCAAGGUAUGUGCAUCAGAGCAUCAAAACUUAGUUUCAUUUUUUAAUAUUAUUGAUUAUGGAAAUGACUCCUCUCUUUCCAAAUGUUACCUAAAACUUUCAAAGGGCUUUCACUUUUCCUUUCAUCCUGAUCAUGUGAGUUGAGUCCAGUAGGUGGCGUUGUCACUGUUUUAUGGUUAUGAACUAGUGACAAAGCUGUCAUUAGACUUUGAGUCUUCUGACUCCCAAGCACUAUUUCUUUUAAAAAGUAGAACACCGUCAACUACCAUUUACUUCUCUAUAUGCCAGCUGG